UUUUGAAACCGAUUCUAACCGAUAUCGAUCCAGGAACCAUUUGAUCGCCGAUUCCGUAUUUUAAAAUGCCGGUAAACAAUGAUAGGACUACCACUCCGUGAUCGUGAAAGCCAGUAAGUGAUGCCUAUAGUCUUGUCUACCAGCAAAAGAAACAAAAGUCCCCUAGUCCAAAUUCCGAAGCCCCACCUUGUUUUACCCUACCACUGAUUCUCUGAUUUCCCUCUUCAUUAUUUUCUCUUUCUUCUUCCCACUAUCAUUAUUUCCCAUGGUUCCUUCAUCUUUUUCUGUGUUCUUGUUCCCGCCGCCCGUUCGCUGGUUCGCCAUUUCCAAUAUCUAAGGACAUCCUCCAGGUUUCAUAUUUUCAAAUAAAAAAAAAAAGAUAAUUAUCUUUUUGUUGUUCGUCGAGUUCUCCGGGCAUUCUCAGUCAAAGAAAGCAGUCGCCAUGAUUUUCUGAGCAAGUCCCCUGUCCUCUCCGGUCUCGAGAUAGAUUUCCAUUGCACAAGUCCUGUAAGGAAGUAUUUGAUUCUGAAAAUGCUCUCCAAAGAUCAAAGUACUAGUAGUGGGAGUGUCAGAUUCUCCUUCUUAUUGUUUCUCUUUUUGUAGGAGGAAGGAAGUAUUUGAAUUUUUGGAACAGAGAGUGGGAGUGAUUUGGAAAUUUUGGUUGGUUAAGUAUAGUGCACGUUUGUUUGGACUUGGGGGAAGAAGAAAUGAAGAUUUGAAUUUGGAUAGUUGGAUACUCGUACUACUAGUGGGUAGGGGUUGCAGUCUUACUGGGGGAUGAUUUGAACAAAGUUUAUUCUGACUUCUGAGUUCGCAUUGCUUCUCAGUUAUUGGUAUUGACUUCUGAAAGCUCUCCAAAGAUCAAAGUACCAUGCAGGAUGCACCGCAGCAGAUAAACUAGUCGGGAUAUCGGUACUUUAUGUAAGAGUGCAUACACCACAGACAAUAUGUUUGACUCGACUGUUUUGCAAUUCCCCUUGAACUUAGGGGAGACUUUGGUUAGAAGUACACAGACUGCUGGGAGAAAUUGUGUUUCUGAAGAUCAGUUUGAUCUUGUGAACGAAUUUAGGAGUUGCAACUCCAAAAUAGAGGUGAACUACUCUUGUGGGGAAACUGGAAGCCCUAGUUCAUGCAAUAAAAGCAGUAGUACCUAUCCUUACAGAGUCCAACUUGAACAGGACGUAAGUUUUUCGUGCUUAUAUUCACCAUUGCAACAAUACACUAUCUUGCUGCUUCUUGACCCCAUUAUAAAACUGGAUUCAAGAUUAUGUAAAAAGUACUUGACUGAAU